rnacentral:rRNA from 1 species
UACGGGGGGGGCAAGCGUUGUUCGGAAUUACUGGGCGUAAAGGGCUCGUAGGCGGCCAACUAAGUCAUACGUGAAAUCCCUCGGCUUAACCGGGGAACUGCGUCUGAUACUGGAUGGCUUGAGUUCGGGAGAGGGAUGCGGAAUUCCAGGUGUAGCGGUGAAAUGCGCAGAUAUCAGGAGGAACACCGGUGGCGAAGGCGGGCCUCUGGGCAACAACUGACGCUGAGGAGCGAAAGCGUGGGGAGCGAACAGG